AGUGAACGCUGGCGGUAUGCCUAACACAUGCAAGUCGAACGGCAGCACAGUAAGAGCUUGCUCUUACGGGUGGCGAGUGGCGGACGGGUGAGGAAUACAUCGGAAUCUACUUUUUCGUGGGGGAUAACGUAGGGAAACUUACGCUAAUACCGCAUACGACCUACGGGUGAAAGCAGGAGAUCUUCGGACCUUUCGCGAUUGAAUGAGCCGAUGUCGGAUUAGCUAGUGGGCGGGGUAAAGGCCCACCAAGGCGAGGAGCCGUAGCUGGCCUGAGAGGAUGGCCGGCCAAACUGAAACUGAGACACGGUCCAGACUCCUACGGGAGGCAGAGGUGGGGAAUAUAGGACAAUGGGCGAAAGCCUGAGCCAGCCAUACGGCGGGGGUGAAGAAGGCCUUCGGGUUGUAAAGCCCUUUUGUUGGGAAAGAAAAGCAGCAGGUUAAUACCCCGCUGUUCGGACGGUACCAAAAGAAUAAGCACCGGCUAACUUCGU
rnacentral:rRNA from 1 species